rnacentral:rRNA from 1 species
CCUACGGGAGGCAGCAGUGGGGAAUAUUGGGCAAUGGGCGCAAGCCUGACCCAGCAACGCCGCGUGAAGGAAGAAGGCUCUCGGGUUGUAAACUUCUUUUCUCAGGGACGAAGCAAGUGACGGUACCUGAGGAAUAAGCCACGGCUAACUACGUGCCAGCAGCCGCGGGAAUACGUAGGGGGCAGGCGUUAUCCGGAUUCACUGGGUGUAAAGGGUGUGUAGGCCGGACUGCAAGUCAGAUGUGAAAACCACGGGCUCAACCUGUGGCCUGCAUUUGAAACUGUAGUUCUUGAGUACUGGAGAGGCAGACGGAAUGCGUAGUGUAGCGGUGAAAUGCGUAGAUAUUAGGAGGAACACCGGUGGCGAAGGCGGUCUGCUGGACAGCAACUGACGCUGAGGCGCGAAAGCGUGGGGAGCAAACAGGAUUAGAUACCCUAGUAGUC